AGAAGGGCUUCCACGACGGUAUCGUUUUGGGGCCUUUUUCUUUUGC
rfam:Agrobacterium vitis S4 plasmid pAtS4a, complete sequence.